rnacentral:rRNA from 1 species
GACGUAGGAGGCGAGCGUUGGCCGGAUUCAUUGGGCGUAAAGAGCACGCAGGCGGUUUGGCAAGUCGGAUGUGAAAACCCGAAGCUCAACUUCGGGCCUGCAUCCGAAACUGCCCGACUAGAGGUAGGUAGGGGAGAUCGGAAUUCCAGGUGUAGCGGUGAAAUGCGUAGAUAUCUGGAGGAAUACCGGUGGCGAAGGCGGCAUCCUGGACCAUUACUGACGCUGAGGCGCGAAAGCUAGGGGAGCGAACGGG